rnacentral:lncRNA from 1 species
GCCUCUGCCUCCCAAGGGCUGGGAUUAUAGGUAUGCGCCACCACUGCCCGGCUCAGAUGGAACGAUUUUGAUGGUGAAAAUUAAUAAUAUUUUCUAGUUGUUUCCAGGCUUCAUUGACCAAGCCCUCCUCACUGGUAGGAUUUCAUUAAAAUAUAAAAGAUUCCUGUGACAAUGUGUUGUUGUUCUUCUUCUUCUUUGGGGUUUGUUUAAGGAAGCUCUCACAUAAUUUAGGCUAGAUUCAAACCCCUCCCUCUUCUUCUGCCUUUGUGUUAGAUUGCAUUCCAAUACCUACAUACCCAUAUUUCUCAUGUUCAGUGAAUAGAAGAUAUAAGAAGGGAGGAAGAAGGAGGGAAAGAGGAAAGAUAGAAAUGAAUCAAACAUUCAACCGAAUACACAUGCUAGAGAAGUUUCUCAACCUAUCCAUGUUAUAUGGAGUUCAUGGGGUUUUGAAGUUCAUAUAAUUGUUAGAUUCCAUCUUAUGAUUACAGAGCAGUCAAUAAAGUUAAUAGAUAAAAAGACAAACUACAAAAAAAUCAAUUAUUCACCUAAGUCUCUAUAGCCCAGACUAAAGAUGAACUUCAAUCAGGUACAGUUAGAAAUGAAAAUUAUUAUUCUGAAAUAUAACAUUUUAAAGAAAACAGCAUGUACUUGUACUUUAUACAUUGUGCAGUUUAAUCAAGAUUAUUUUUCCAGCAGAUGGCCAUGCACAAAUCUAAUUACAAUAUGGUUAAGAAGGAUUGGAGUGUCACAAAAUGAUAAAUUAUCGCAAAGAACAUAGACGUCAAAAACUCAUAAAGUCAACAUUUAUCUGACAUGGUCUGCUGAUUACUAAUGCUAACCACUCAGAUGCUUUAUCAAUUUUUGUACUUGAAUUUAUUUAUUUUCCUAUACGAUAUCCAGUUUUAUUAAGGUAUGAUUGACAAAAGAACUUUGCACAUAUUUAUGAUGUAUGAGAUAAUGUUCUGUUGUAGAUGAAUAAUGCAAUAAAGCUAGGUAACAUAGCACUUCACGCAGUACCUUUUCUGUUGUUGUAAAAUACAUCCUUCACACUUAGAAGUGUAUAAUACUACAACCUCUGAUUAUUUCGGUUAUAUAUGCAUGAUCUCCAUAGAUUUUUUAAAUUAUUUUUACAUCCCGUCUGCAGUUUCCCAUCCUUCCUCUUCUCCCAGUCACCUACUACUUCCACCUCCCUGCUUCACCUCCCCCAUGGACUCCACCUCCGUUUCUUUUUAGAAAAGGGUAGGACUCCUACAGAUAGCAGCCAUGGUAUAUCAAGUUGCCUUAAGACUAGGUACCUCCUCUCCUAUUAAGGUUAGAGGAGGCAAAUCAGUAGGAGGAAAAGCUAGCUCCUGCUCCCACUCUUAGAAGACACAAGACCAAGUUACACAACUGUAACAUAUGUGUAGAGGGCCUACAUUAGACCCAUAUAUGUUUCUGGUUAUACGUUCAGUCUCUAUGAGUUUCUACCAGCUUAGUUGACUCUGUGGGAUUUCAUGUGAUAUUCUUGACCUCCUCUGGCUCCUAUAAUCCUUCUUUUCCUCUUCCUUGGGAUUCCCUAAUAUCCCCCAAAUAUUUGGCUGUGGGUCUCUGCAUCCAUUUCUAUCAGUUGUUGUCUGAAGCUUCCUGGAGGACAUUGGGUUAGGUAACAAUCUAUAAAUAUAGGAAAAUAUCAUUAGGUACCAUUCAUUGACUUUUUCAUCUUAGCUUCUGACUCUAUUCCCAAUCACUGCUCUGGCAACCACUAUUAUGAGUUUUGCGUUGUUGUUGUUGUUGUUGAGAAAUAGUGGCAAUUAUCUUUCUCAUUGUGUAUUUAAGUGUUCCCAACAUAAUUCUGUCAAGAUGCAUCCAUGUUGUUGCAAAUGGUGGGGUUUCUUUCUUUAACACCAGAAGAAGUGCAUGUAUGUGGGUGGGUUUCAUAUUUUCUUGUUCAUUCAUUUACUAUUGGAUACUUAGAUUGCUUCCAUUUCCUGGCUAUUGUGAGCAACAUGGCACUGAAUACCAAAGUGCCUUCUCCAGCUCCCUGCUGGGUUGGAUGGUCUUAGGCUUAAAAGUUUCCUCUGGGAUCAAUUUUCUUCCUCACUUUCCAUAGUUAGUCAUGACAUGCCUGUCCUGUGCCUGAUGGCUAGCAUUUCAUUUUAUUUACCUUUGCCUUCUUUGAUAAUUUUCCUAUUUAAAAUAUUCUGUCAAAUGUUGAAAAGAGUAGUGUCAUAAGUGACACAAACUAAUAAAAUACUAGAACGACUUUGUGAUUUUCUUAAUUUACAGGAAUAUAUACGCCUUAGAAAUUUGUAAAACACAGAGAAAAUGUGGGCAUACAGAUCACUUGCUUUGUGUUAACACUUGUGGAAUGUUUGGGAUCUUUAAAAGCCUGUGUGUUCCUCAUAUGCUACUUCCUCCAUUACUAGAAACAGUCUCCUUGGGUUGAUUCUAUCUUCACAAAACAAAUGGAAGCAAGGGGAAGAAGACAGGGAUGAGAGAAAGAAACAGAGUUGAAACAGAGCUUAGGUAGAAAUCACCCAUCUAGGAUUCUGGGAGCAACACAAGUACAAAGAGAUGAUGCUGUUUCUGAGAAAUGGCAAUACCUUCAUGGUAUUUUAGAAAAUUGCAAAUUUGUAGAUUUUUUUUUUAUUAUGGAGUAGAUUUUUUUCCAUCUAGGAAAAAAACAUGGGGACUCUACUUGAGUAAGAAAACAAUUAAUACUAAACAAGAAUAAGAGUAAUAUGAAUAAAAGGAAACCUAACCACUUCCAUAGUUGAACAAAAUCUUACCGAUUUAAAACAGCACACAAACUGCAAAGGAUUAUAAAAUUACUGAGUAUGACAUAGCCUGUUUUGUCACAGGAAUUCCAUGCGAUGUUAACAGGAGAGCUUGUAAUGUAAUUCAUCCCUUCAUCAGUUUAAGUGAGAAAUUUGAUUAUCCACACAGAUGCGGGAGAGUCCUUUAAGAUUUUCGACACCCUAUUUUAUAAUAUGAACUGUUGGCAGAAUUGAAAUCUGACCAGAUGUUAUUAAACCAGU